rnacentral:rRNA from 1 species
UACGGAGGGUGCAAGCGUUAAUCGGAAUUAUUGGGCGUAAAGGGCGUGUAGGCUGGAAUGUAAGUCGGAUGUGAAAUCCCGGAGCUCAACUUCGGAAUAGCAUUCGGUACUGUGUUUCUUGAGGGUAGACGGAGAAAAUGGAAUUCCACAAGUAGCGGUGAAAUGCGUAGAUAUGUGGAAGAACACCUGUGGCGAAAGCGAUUUUCUAGUUUAUACCUGACGCUGAGGCGCGAAGGCAAGGGGAGCAAACAGG